AACGAACGCUGGCGGCAGGCCUAACACAUGCAAGUCGAGCGAGACCUUCGGGUCUAGCGGCGGACGGGUGAGUAACGCGUGGGAACGUGCCCUUUUCUGCGGAAUAGCCUCGGGAAACUGAGCGUAAUACCGCAUACGCCCUUUGGGGGAAAGAUUUAUCGGAAAAGGAUCGGCCCGCGUUGGAUUAGGUAGUUGGUGGGGUAAUGGCCUACCAAGCCUACGAUCCAUAGCUGGUUUGAGAGGAUGAUCAGCCACACUGGGACUGAGACACGGCCCAGACUCCUACGGGAGGCAGCAGUGGGGAAUCUUAGACAAUGGGGGCAACCCUGAUCUAGCCAUGCCGCGUGAGUGAUGAAGGCCUUAGGGUUGUAAAGCUCUUUCAGCUGGGAAGAUAAUGACGGUACCAGCAGAAGAAUCCCCGGCUAACUCCGUG
rnacentral:rRNA from 1 species